rnacentral:lncRNA from 1 species
ACCAAUUGAUUUCGUAAGGCCAAGUGUCUGGCACUCUUCCAUGGCUGUCCAAACAGAUUUGAUAUCCAUCGGGACAAUAUCUUCAACGUUUACUGGAAAAGGUACCCCGGGCUUCAUGCUCACUGGCCAAUGUAUCAGAUACUGAUCAACAUACGCGAACUUCAGCUUCCUGCACAAGAAUAAACACAUAAGGCCUUGGUUCAAGUAAAUACAAAUGAACAAGUGGUGCAUCUGCACUACUUCAGAGUUGCUUGAAGAGCAGGGAGGACGCGAUCUCCAUGAUUAUCAGUACACCAGAGCUUAGAGGUGAUGAAGACUUCAUCCCGAGACUUGAUUAGGCCAAGACUCAGAGCUUGAGAUAUGGCUUCACCAAGAGCUUCCUCUGUUUGGUAAAGAGCAGCAGUAUCAAACAUCCUGUAACCGAGCUCAAUCGCUUCAAGCACUGCUUUUAUAACAGUCUCGGGUCCUGGAAACGGAUCAGCUGCUGUCCCCAGUCCCAGAACUGGCAUAGGCCUCGCGUUCCCAGAACUCAAAGUAACCUGUGGAAUACUAAGUGAUGCCAUUUUUUUACCUGCCAAGCACCUCUGGUUUGUAUGGUUAUAAUUUAGCGAUCUACUGUUUUAGCUCCGACUAUUUCAGAAUCCUACUCAUGCCACUACUUAUAUAUGGUAAGGACUUGGGUCCCGGGUGAGCUAUUGAACAUGUGAGUCUGACAUACAAAAAUACAAAAGAACAUAAUGCACAGGCCUAUAAGAUAAGUAUAGUUGAUUAAAAUUUGUAAUUUGUGUGGUUAUUAUGUAUUGUAAUGUAUUCUCAUUUAUAAGUAUCUUAUAAGAUUAAGUGUUCAAUUCUUUUUAACUACUGUCACUGUUAGAGAAUCAUAUGAUAUCUGAUCAUGAAGAUGGGAUCAAUCCUAGUAGUACUGGUACUUGUUAAUGCAGUUCUACAUGGGCUUCAAGCUGUGGCAAAUCCACCUGAUUUGAUCAAGAUUCAGAGUGCUGUUGCAAAAGGAGCAGGUGCACAUUAAUAUCUUAUUACCAUGUAACUUGAAAUUUCGAAUGUCUUUAACUGUUUCUGUGUGCAGUGUGUUUGGAUGGGAGUCCACCUGCCUACCAGCUUGACCGGGGGAAGGACAAAGGAGUUAACAAGUGGCUGUUACACUUGCAGGUUUGUCAGAUUUUGUCGUAAUUGGUACUGAUAACCUCUCUGUAGUGAUAAAAAGUCUCGGUACCUAGUGGUGAUUGGUAUUAAUAUAUAAACCCUUCUUAUGUGAUAACCUCUUUAAAGUGAUAAUUUUUUUCCCUCCCAAGGAUAUGGCUUUAGAUACUGUAUAAUGUGACUGAAGUUCUUUGAGAGGUAGCCUACUGGCUGGCUUAAUAUGGUUAUCAAUUCGUAUUACAGGGAGGAUACUGGUGCACUACAGUUGAAGAAUGCAGCAUGAGAAUGAAUGACAGCAGCGGUCUUGGUUCAUCUAUUAAAAUGACGAGUCUUUAUUUUACUGGAAUCUUGAGUGAUAACAAGGAGCUAAAUCCAAGUGAGAUUGAAUUCCUACUCAAUUACAUUUUAUGAUAAUAUUUAAAACUCUGGUUCUGAUAUUUGGAAGCACGGUAUAAAGGUGAUUUGCUUACAAGUGACUUUCUGAUACUUUUGCAGACUUCUAUAAUUGGAAUAGGGUCUAUGUAAGAUACUGUGAUGGUUCCUGCUUCACCGGUGACAAACAAGAAUCUUCGGUUAGUGUGGCGUGUUCAUGAUCAUUAGCAGCAAUCUAGUAGUAGGCUAUUGGCAACCGUUGGUUCAACAACCUGGUACUAACAAGUUGAUGUUUAUUUAUCCAAGUGAGGAGGAUUUAUUGCUCAAUUUUCAAUAACAGGUUGAUGGACCGUACUACAGAGGUGGUAGAGUUUUCUACGCUAUCAUGGACGAGCUUUUAGAACUUGGAAUGGAAAAUGCUAGCAAUGUAUGAUCUUCUGAAUCUUGAAUAAUCGUUUUCUGUUUAUCUCAAUCAGUCAGAAAAUCUUUAGGAACGCUUAGUCCAUUAUCCCUUGUGUUUAGUUUAAUCAAUCAAUGUGGGAAUUAUGGUUCAUGUGAAGGCGGAAGUAAAAGAACAUGUUCUGGUGGGGCUAAGCGAGUCUAAUCAGGAACUUGUAUGAAUCUGUUCACAACUGAUACUUGUAAUAUACAGGUAUUUCUUACGGGCAAUUCUGCAGGAGGAUUGGCAGCAAUGUAUCAUUGUGAUAGGUUCAAGAAUAUACUGCCUCGUUCUACUGAAGCUAAAUGCCUAGCUGAUGCUUCCUUUUUCAUUCAUCUGUAAGUCCUAAAGAUCUUAUGUGCUCAAGUUAAAUCUUCUCCCUAGGCGUUUAUGAAGCUAAGUAACGUAAACUUGGUGGCUUAUCAACAGAAACAAUCCUUCUGGCUUCGUAAACCUUCAUGUAAUUGUUCUCUAAGCCCUUUGUGUUCAUGUAUGACUUGAUUCAGUUUUGAGUCCAAGUCUUAGUUCACCAGCUAAAUCUAAAAGUGUUUUCUCAAUCUUCUAAUGCAGGGAUCAGUUACAUAUCUACCAUUAUCAUGCACAUCAAAGAUGGAUGCUGCCUCGGUACUUUUUUUUAUAAACUGUCAUGUUUUUCUUACUUUAAUUUAUAAAUAUGUCGAAUGUUGGAGUGAUAUCUAACCAAUCUCCAGUGCCUCUACCCCCGGAAUGUUGUUCCAGAUAUCCAGACUCCUAUGUUCCUCUUGAAUUCGGCAUAUGAUACUUUUCAAGUUAGUACUAAUUCAUUCAUUCUUUCUUUUUCUGAUGCAGUGAUUAUGUAUGUCAUCAUUUCUAUGAUUCUAACAAUUUCUUUUUCUUGUUUUCAGGUUGCAUCAACAAUCCGGUUGCCAGAAAAUUCAAAUCGUUCUUGCUUGUAUAAUCUAACUGGCUGCCCUACCGCUGUACUGGAUGCCUGGAUAAGUAAUUAACUUCAAAUUCCUCAGCAUCACAUCCCUUAGUUCUAUGCUCAUGUUAUUAUCUUGGAAAAUAAGCUUCUACUUUCCUACCCCAGAUUUUAGGACGAAGUUUUUGCAAGAAGUGACUGACUUGGGUAAUCUUUCCACGAGAGGCUUGUUCAUCAACGCGUGCCAUACUCAUUCCCAGUCUGAGUUUCAAAGUAAAUGGCUGGGGGAUCCCGAUUCUAUGCUUGAUAACAUGGUAAUUUAUCAGAAAUCUAUCUGACAAACGCGCUUAAAAUGUCAAUAUAUAUGUGAGAACUAAUAUAGUUAUCCAAAUUGCGAUGAACAGACAAUUUCAGAAGCUGUGGGAGAAUGGUAUAAUGACAAUAAGCUAAUCCAACUGAUUGACAGAGAACACAUCUAUCCCAGACAAUGCGUUGUCGAUGCUUCUGAGCCAUAUGCUUGCAACAACUAUACUAUUGGUGCAUCUUAUCUUUGUGACGUAAACCAAAACAAAUCAAACAUACCCAGUGUAUCUCACUCGUAUGACUGAGUGGAGCGUAAGAUGUAUUAUACUUGAACUAAAAAAAUGUAUUGAUAAAUAUAUAUAUUUGUGCACUUAUAUAAAUGUUUUAACCAUUUAUAUAUUUGGGGAAGUCGUCAAAAGUUGACAAUUUUAAGGCAAACUACUGAUUCCAAUAGGCGGGGAACCAAGAGUGACUUGCCACGUCAACUUUGACAACCUCGUGGCAAUCCUGUUGGAGAUGCUCAAAGCUAAAAACAUUCUUUCUUUUUAUUAUUUUUUGCAGUUAUUAAAAUUAGUUUACAUGUUCUGCAAAAAACCAUCCUUAACAGAUAUACUCCCCAUCCUUGCAACCAUCAUAUUAAAGUUCUCCAUCCCAGAACUCCUCGACUGACUUAAUAAGGCCAGUUUCAGAGAUAAAUAUCUCUCCGCGGCUUGUCCUACUCUGUGGGAUUUCAGCUAUAUUCUUGAAGUCUUCAUCGCUUAACUCCCAGUCGAAAAUAUCAAGAUUCUGCUUCAUUCUCAGUUUGUUGAAGCUCUUCAUCACAAUCACAACUCCUUGCUCAUAAAUCCAUCUCAAAGCCACCUGAGCUACAGAUUUUCCUUUCGACUCUGCAAUUUUCUUCAGAACCUCAGAUUCCAACACUCCGUUGCUUCCCCAAAAGGUACCUGAUCCUCCAAGUGGAGAAUAGGCUGCCACCAUGAUUCCAUUUGCAUUACAGAACUCUCUUAGCUUUCCUUGUUGCCAUGCUGGGUGCAUCUCCACCUUUGAUCAUAAAUUGAUCAGUAAGAGCAAAGUGUAAAAUAAUACCUCUGAAUAAAAUCCGGACUUACUUGAUUAAUAGCUGGAAGAAUCUUGGCAAAAGCAAGAAUAUUAUCAAGCAAUUUGCAAGAGAAAUUACUGACACCAAUUGAUUUCGUAAGGCCAAGUGUCUGGCACUCUUCCAUGGCUGUCCAAACAGAUUUGAUAUCCAUCGGGACAAUAUCUUCAACGUUUACUGGAAAAGGUACCCUGGGCUUCAUGCUCACUGGCCAAUGUAUAAGAUACUGAUCAACAUACGUGAACUUCAGCUUCCUGCACAAGAAUAAACACAUAAGGCCUUGGUUCAAGUAAAUACAAAUGAACAAG